CGGACGGGUGAGUAACGCGUGGAUAACCCGCCUUACACUGGGGGAUAACACUUAGAAAUAGGUGCUAAUACCGCAUAAGCGCACAGAGCCGCAUGGCUCAGUGUGAAAAACUUCGGUGGUGUAAGAUGGAUCCGCGUCUGAUUAGCUGGUUGGCGGGGUAGAAGCCCACCAAGGCGACGAUCAGUAGCCGGCCUGAGAGGGUGAACGGCCCACAUUGGGACUGAGACACGGCCCAAACUCCUACGGAAGGCAGCAG
rnacentral:rRNA from 1 species